CAUUGGUCGAGAGUUGUUGUCGCUCUCCUGAUGAGUUCUAGGUAAGACGAAACCAGUG
rnacentral:hammerhead_ribozyme from 1 species